rnacentral:piRNA from 1 species
UAUGCUGUCAUAGUUUCAGUGAGGUCAUAC